AAAUUGUUUAAAUUAGUUUUUUUUAUAUAAAAAUAAAUAAUUACAACAACUCGUACUAAAAGUUUAUAUAAAAAUUAAAAAAAAAUGUAUUGAAUUUAUAAAAAAAGAGAGAAAAAAAUUAUUUUCCAUGAAAUACCACAACGAGAGUGAUUUUGACUAAAAUGCGUUGAUUAUUAAGCUGUUAAAAUAUAAAAGUGCGCGUUUUUCUUUACCCCUAAACAAGUGGCAAACCAUAAAAAUUUUAACGAAAUUUUGCAAAUAAUUAAACGAAAAUAGUUUUGUAAAUACAUUUGUUUCACAAAAUUUCAUAAAUAUUUGUGUUUUAGUUUAGAAACUUUUCAUUUAAAUUUCGUUAUUUGUGUGUGAUUUUAUUUCUUUUUUUUUUGUUUUUGUAUUUGCUGUUAUAUUUUAUUGCUCUGUGGAUUAUGUUUAUUUUGUCAUCAAUAUGUUUGUAUAAAUUUAUGCAAACGAGUGCUAAUUUUAGCACUGCGUAAG